GAGCGUGGAAGCGGGUGGCGGGAGGGGUCCCCUGGUGCUCAGAGCUCUUCUCUAGGACGUGUAUAGACUCAUUAGGAGACUCAGACAGUGUUCAGUUCUUUCAUCCAAGCAAGCCCAGGGGAGCUCAGGAUGGAGUCCUCCAGGCACUUGUAUCUACAGCUUGGGGUGCAGCAGCACCUCACAUGGGUAGGGAACCCCAUCUCUUCUCACGAUCCUCACUCUGCACACGGUGUAGGCCUGUGUGAGGGUGAGGGGAGGCUGGCGCUACAUAUCAAAAUCUGGUUAGAUCCAAGGCAGCCUUUGAGAGGAGUGGAGUAGCAGAUACUGCAUUGGUUCAUCCACUCUCCAUCCCUUUAAAAAUAGAUGGAGAAACCAUUAUCCCUGUUUGCAGAGUCCCAAACCUGUCAGAUCUUUACAUUCCCCGUCUAUAGGCUUUUCCUGUUGGAUCUGUGUUUUACAAAACUGCCUGGCCAUAGGAACUAUUUGCUUAGGGCCUGGAGAAAGAUGGCUCAGCAGUCAGAAACACUUAACUGCUUUAGCAGGGGACCUGAGUUUGGUUUCCGGUAACCUCACAAUGCUCACAGCUGUCGCUAACUCCAAUCCCAGGGACCCACUGAUCUUGUAGAGCAUCUGGGAGCACGAAUCUCACAUGUAUAUGCCAUAAAAACCACUCAGACACACAAAAUAAAAAUAAAUAUGUUGUUAAAACCCGAAACUGAAAGGAUCUAGAGAGAUGACUCUGUGAUUGCAGGUGCUGGCUACUGUACCUGAGAAGCCACACUCAUUUUCCAGCACAUGGAGCCUCCCCGCUCCAGUUGUAGGGGAUCUGAUACCCUCUUCUGGCCUCUGCAGGUACUGCACACAUGUGGACAGACACGCAGGAAGGCAAAAUACACACAUAAAAAAGGAAAAAACAUUUGAAAAAACACUUGGUAAAAUAAUCGCAUGUGGGACUGGGGAUGCCACUCAGUUGGUAGAGCGCUUGAUUCGAGUGCACAAAGCCCUGGUUCAAUCCCCAGCACUAUAAACCAGGGGCCGUGGCACGUGCACGUCAUCCCAACAUUUGGGAGGUAAAGGCAGGAGAGUUAGAAGUGCAAGGUUACUUUUGGCUGCAUAGUGAGUUCAAGGCCAGCCUGGGCUGUAUGAUUAUUUUAAGAACCAAACAGUAAAAACAAUUUUUAAAAAACACAAGGAUUACUGUCUGCCUGUCAAAGAUGCUGUUGAGCUGUGCCUUGGAGAAUGGGUGGGUGGAUCUGGAGUAAAGAUUUGUACUCUGAACAUAUGCAGAGAGCCUUGUGGUAGAUGUGUUUGGGUGGUGUUACACUGGAUCGUACCUCUGGUGCACCCCUAUCUGCUGGCCAGGAGUAUUGUUCGUGUCUGUAUUGGUCAGGAUUAUUUUAUUCCAAUGUCAUGGUGAGGUCCCUCUAACUCCCUUGGGGCUGGCACUGGUGCAGCACCAGCUAUGACACUGGAGACUGGCUCAUCAGAGUCCAGCAGAAAGGAGACAUUUAAAGGGAGAGGGUUGGAAGCCCUCCCCCAGGAGACUCCUUGAGAUGUUCCAACUCCCAGAAUAGUGAUGUGUUGUGACAGGCUGAGAUCAGACAACAGGAAUUACAGGUAAUUUUCUUAUUCCCUUGCCAUCCCGAAUAAAACUUAGCUCGUGAAUAGAAAGAAAGCCAUUGGGGAAAAUGGCAAACGUAAAUCAUUUCUAAAGGGUACAAAUGAACGGCUUUGCUAAUAGCAUAACUUUUAUGUUAGGAGCAAUAGUGGGUGGAGGAAAAAUAGUAAAAUAUACCCCUUCCAAAAUUGAUUUAGUUGUGGCCAGAAUCUUAUGGGAAUUUAGAAGUGAUGUAUACAGGGUAAGGAUUAUCCCUGGAGAUUCUAAGGUCUAAGAAGCAAAAUGGUGCCUAGCAUUCCCUGCCAGGACCCUACCUCCUCGGCACUUGGGGCAACCAGUGAAGCUCAAAGGCGAGUAAGAGGCUAAGUUGCUUGAAGCCUGAGGUUGGCAGUGAUGGGGCAUAUUUGUUCUUUGCAGCAACCCGUGUGUUUUCCCACCUUACACAAUGUGGAGCUGAGGUUAAAUAUGCCAAGUGACCACUUAUUGCCAAAUAGCGUUUAGUCUUUAAAUGGCCUUCUGACUGUCUAGGGUUCUUCCCAAUUCCUGCAGUCAUCACAGGCCCAGACCGCCACUUAUUCUCUUCACAACCAGGUGGAGAGUGGGGAGAGCCCCGAGUCGAUAUUCACUCACAGGUCAUCAUCGAGGAGAAGCUACGAAGAUGGGUAUUGGCCACUUCAUCUAUCCACGUAAAACUGGGGAUCCAGAUCUAGAGGGGGAUAAAGAAGACAAGAAGGAUAAAGUUGUGGCAGUUGAGCUAAAAAGCCAUGUUUGAGUUUUCUGUGGGGCUGAGUGGACAGGAGUAAAUGUGGUCUGACUCCUUCUAUCUAGAAGGUUGGGAGACACCCAUAGCUUCUCUCUUGCCAUGUUUAUUAAUAAAGAUGUUAGACACUUCUCCGUGAGAUAUUUCCUUGUGAAAGUAAAGACCACAACAUCAAAACAUUGGGUUGCAAAGUUGCCUACUUCACGAGAGUCACCUGCCCCGUCGUUUUUGUGCCUUGUCUGUGACGUCAAAACGCAAAUGUUUAUAUCACUGUCACUCAUGAUUAUUUUCCUAUGUCGGACAAACAAAGUGCAUUUGGUUGUAAUGUUUUAAAGUAAAUAAAGCAUUUCAUCUAA
rnacentral:sRNA from 1 species